rnacentral:rRNA from 1 species
AUUGAACGCUGGCGGCAUGCUUUACACAUGCAAGUCGAACGGUAACAGGCCGCAAGGUGCUGACGAGUGGCGGACGGGUGAGUAAUGCAUCGGAACGUGCCCAGUCGUGGGGGAUAACUACUCGAAAGAGAAGCUAAUACCGCAUACGAUCUAUGGAUGAAAGCGGGGGACCGUAAGGCCUCGCGCGAUUGGAGCGGCCGAUGUCAGAUUAGGUAGUUGGUGGGGUAAAGGCUCACCAAGCCAACGAUCUGUAGCUGGUCUGAGAGGACGACCAGCCACACUGGGACUGAGACACGGCCCAGACUCCUACGGGAGGCAGCAGUGGGGAAUUUUGGACAAUGGGCGCAAGCCUGAUCCAGCAAUGCCGCGUGCAGGAAGAAGGCCUUCGGGUUGUAAACUGCUUUUGUACGGAACGAAACGGCUCUGGUUAAUACCCGGGGCUAAUGACGGUACCGUAAGAAUAAGCACCGGCUAACUACGUG